CUGUGAUCUGUCUCCUAUCACCAGGGUUAGGGUUAAUGAAGCUGUGAUCUGUCUCUCCUAUCACCAGGGUUAGGGUUAAUGAAGCUGUGAUCUGUCUCUCCUAUCACCAGGGUUAGGGUUAAUGAAGCUGUGAUCUGUCUCUCCUAUCACCAGGGUUAGGGUUAAUGAAGCUGUGAUCUGUCUCUCCUAUCACCAGGGUUCAGGUUAGGGUUAAUGAAGCUGUGAUCUGUCUCUCCUAUCACCAGGGUUAGGGUUAAUGAAGCUGUGAUCUGUCUCUCCUAUCACCAGGGUUCAGGUUAGGGUUAAUGAAGCUGUGAUCUGUCUCUCCUAUCACCAGGGUUCAGGUUAGGGUUAAUGAAGCUGUGAUCUGUCUCUCCUAUCACCAGGGUUAGGGUUAAUGAAGCUGUGAUCUGUCUCUCCUAUCACCAGGGUUAGGGUUAAUGAAGCUGGGAUCUGUCUCUCCUAUCACCAGGGUUCAGGUUAGGGUUAAUGAAGCUGUGAUCUGUCUCUCCUAUUACCAGGGUUAGGGUUAAUGAAGCUGGGAUCUGUCUCUCCUAUCACCAGGGUUCAGGUUAGGGUUAAUGAAGCUGGGAUCUGUCUCUCCUAUCACCAGGGUUCAGGUUAAUGAAGCUGUGAUCUGUCUCUCCUACCACCAGGGUUAGGGUUAAUGAAGCUGUGAUCUGUCACUCCUAUCACCAGGGUUCAGGUUAGGGUUAAUGAAGCUGGGAUCUGUCUCUCCUAUCACCAGGGUUCAGGUUAAUGAAGCUGUGAUCUGUCUCCCCCCACCAGGGUUAGGGUUAAUGAAGCUGUGAUCUGUCUCUCCUAUCACCAGGGUUCAGGUUAAUGAAGCUGUGACCUGUCUCUCCCCCCACCAGGGUUCAGGUUAGGGUUAAUGAAGCUGUGAUCUGUCUCUCCUAUCACCAGGGUUCAGGUUAGGGUUAAUGAAGCUGUGAUCUGUCUCUCCUAUCACCAGGGUUCAGGUUAGGGUUAAUGAAGCUGUGAUCUGUCUCUCCUAUCACCAGGGUUAGGGUUAAUGAAGCUGUGAUCUGUCACUCCUACC